AUACUGGAGUGGGUUGCCAUUUCCUUCUCCAUCAAAGGGCUUUCCAAGGGCAGGGCCCCAGACCUCCUGCUACGGGUGCUCUGGACACAGCCCUGUGCAGGGUGGUCUGAGGAUGGACCAGCUAACAUACGCUGGGGGCUUAGAAGAGCAGCUAGCAUCUACUGAACGCUCCACAUGUCUUUGCUAUUCUGGAGUAGUCGGAUCAACACUGCCUCCGUGAAGCCCUCCACACUGCCGACAGGAGGCAGGCCUGUCAUCCUUGGAGCUUCCAGAACCCAAAUCCCACAUGUCAAUCACUCAGUGCAGGGUAAUGUUGAUAACAGCUGUCGCUGGUUGAGUGUUUACUAUGUGCUGG